AAAAUACACACAGCCAGCUGUGAGUUACUACCUGCCUUACCCAGGAAAAGGACAUGAGCUGCCCAAGCACACACCUCUUUGCCAUCUAUGCCAGCAUUUUUACCUUCAAGGCCGAUGUUCUCAUCGUGUUAAGUACAUUUGAGUUUAGUAAUAUCCUGGCAAUGGUUGGUUGAGCCUAGUUAAUGACAGAAGCUCCAGACAGAUGCUGUUGGGGGUCCUCUACGAAAAGACACCGCCAUUCCCGAGGGUGACGCUGCAGCGGCCCAGCACUUGUGCGCAUAGAAGCUAAGGGGAAAUUACCCUACCCUAAACUCCAGUGAAAAGCCCUUUGCAGUCCGACAGGCUUGCAUUCACAUCCCAACAGUGUGGGGUUUGGACAAAUUCCAUAAUCUGAGUCUGUUUCCUCCUCUAGAAUGCGAGUCUAUGAAUUCCUGUCUACUGCCUGGAAGUGCCGCUGUCAGGACUGAGAUAAUGUGUGUACUUUCGGUGCACAGGGGACGCUCAACACGUGCGAGCUUCCCUUGCAGAAAGCCAAGAGAUGAAAGGCUGGGGGCCGCCCCUGCCUUAACGUGGAUCCCACACUCUCCGAGAUCAUCUCCCCAGCUAGCGCUUACUCCUGCCCAGG
rnacentral:lncRNA from 1 species